UUUGGGAUAUGAUGCGUUUAUUCAUAAUCAGAGGCUGUUUCUGAGCAAUUCAGAAUCCGUAUAUUUAUGUGCUGAUAAUUUGCACGUCAGUCUGAUCCCAAA
rnacentral:snoRNA from 1 species